rnacentral:tRNA from 1 species
GCCCUGUUAGCUCAUUCGGUAGAGCAUGAGACUUUUAAUCUCAGGGUCACGGGUUCGAGCCCCGUACAAGGCU